rnacentral:RNase_P_RNA from 1 species
GAGAGUAGGCGCAGGCGGUUGCAGAUCAGUCAUAGUUACUGGUUUGAGGAAAGUCCGGACUCCCGAAAGACCAAACUUGCUGGAUAACGUCCAGUGCGAGCGAUCGUGAGGAUAGUGCCACAGAAAGAUACCGCCAGAUCAAUUAAAAAUUAAAAAUUAAAAAUGUAAAAUGAACAAUUUUUAAUUUUUAAUUUUACAUUUUUAAUUGAUCUGGUAAGGGUGCAAAGGUGCGGUAAGAGCGCACCAGCAGUAUCGAGAGGUGCUGGCUCGGUAAACCCCGGUUGGGAGCAAGGCGAUAGGAACUACGGUUGGUCUUUUACCAGUUCCGCUCAAUGAGAGCCGCUUGAGGCGUUUGGUAACAAACGUCCCAGAUAGAUAACUGCCCUCGCAAGAGAACAGAACCCGGCUUAUGUCCUGCUCUCUCCC